GGAAGCAGUGGUUCGACUACACUCAGUAUCUGCGCCGAGAGGUUUCUGAUUUUUUUUCCCUUUCUUCUUUGAUUAAUCCCUACUGGGUUUUCUCUGCUGACCUCUGUUUGUUUCUAUGGAAAGUUUUCUGGGGUUUCUCUGCUGACAUCUGUUUGUUUCCGUGGAAAAUUUUCUGGGGUUUCUCUGCUGGUAUCUGUUUGUUUCCGUGGAAUGUUUUCUGGGUUCUCUGCUGGCAAACUGUUGGUUUUCAGUGGAAAUUUUUUAUGGGUUUUGUUAAUUUCAUCGAAAGAAGCUUAAUUUUUGGUGUAUAUGAUUAGUUCGCGUUUAAAGUUAGGAACUUUCAGAUUAUAAGGAUGAAAUGUCUAUAGAAAUUACUGGAUAGUCAGACGUAAUUUCCCUAAAAUAUUUCCAUUUGUGGUUCAAUACUGCGUUUCCCCCAUUGUUUUGAAUUUUGGGCCGUUGAAGUAAACUUUGAUUGUGGGGUUUCUGGUUGUGG
rnacentral:lncRNA from 1 species